rnacentral:misc_RNA from 1 species
GAUGAAGAACGUAGUGAAAUGCGAUAAGUAAUGUGAAUUGCAGAAUUCAGUGAAUCAUCGAAUCUUUGAACGCGCAUUGCGUCCGCCAGCAUUCUGGCGGGCAUGCCUGUUCGAGCGUCAUUUCAACCCUCAAGCUCUGCUUGGUGUUGGGGCCCUACGGUUGACGUAGGCCCUUAAAGGUAGUGGCGGACCCUCUCGGAGCCUCCUUUGCGUAGUAACUAACGUCUCGCAUUGGGAUUCGGAGGGACUCUUGCCGUAAAACCCCCAAAUUUUCUAAUGGUUGACCUCGGAUCAGGUAGGAAUACCCGCUGAACUUAAGCAUAUCAAUAAGCGGAGG